rnacentral:rRNA from 1 species
UACGAAGGGGGCUAGCGUUGCUCGGAAUGACUGGGCGUAAAGGGCGCGUAGGCGGAUGGCACAGUCAGAUGUGAAAUUCCCGGGCUUAACCUGGGGGCUGCAUUUGAUACGUGUGAUCUAGAGUGAGGAAGAGGGUCGUGGAAUUCCCAGUGUAGAGGUGAAAUUCGUAGAUAUUGGGAAGAACACCGGUGGCGAAGGCGGCGACCUGGACCGGUUCUGACGCUGAGGCGCGAAAGCGUGGGUAGCAAACAGG